GAUGAACGCUGGCGGCGUGCCUAAUACAUGCAAGUCGAGCGAACAGAUGAGGAGCUUGCUCCUCUGACGUUAGCGGCGGACGGGUGAGUAACACGUGGAUAACCUACCUAUAAGACUGGGAUAACUUCGGGAAACCGGAGCUAAUACCGGAUAAUAUAUUGAACCGCAUGGUUUAAUAGUGAAAGACGGUUUUGCUGUCAAUUAUAGAUGGAUCCGCGCCGCAUUAGCUAGUUGGUAAGGUAACGGCUUACCAAGGCAACGAUGCGUAGCCGACCUGAGAGGGUGAUCGGCCACACUGGAACUGAGACACGGUCCAGACUCCUACGGGAGGCAGCAGUAGGGAAUCUUCCGCAAUGGGCGAAAGCCUGACGGAGCAACGCCGCGUGAGUGAUGAAGGUCUUCGGAUCGUAAAACUCUGUUAUUAGGGAAGAACAAAUGUGUAAGUAACUAUGCACGUCUUGACGGUACCUAAUCAGAAAGCCACGGCUAACUACGUG
rnacentral:rRNA from 1 species